GACGUAGGAUGCAAGCGUUGUCCGGAUUUAUUGGGCGUAAAGAGUUCGUAGGUGGUUCGUUAAGUCUGAUGUUAAAGACUGGGGCUCAACCCUGGAAGUGCAUUGGAUACUGGCGGACUUGAGUGUGGUAGAGGCAAUCGGAAUUCCAGGUGUAGCGAUGAAAUGCGUAGAUAUCUGGAAGAACACCGGUGGCGCAAGCGGAUUGCUGGGCCAUAACUGACACUGAGGAACGAAAGCUAGGGGAGCGAAUGGG
rnacentral:rRNA from 1 species